rnacentral:rRNA from 1 species
AGCGAACGCUGGCGGCAGGCUUAACACAUGCAAGUCGAGCGGGCCCUUCGGGGUCAGCGGCAGACGGGUGAGUAACGCGUGGGAACGUGCCCUUCGGUUCGGAAUAACUCAGGGAAACUAGAGCUAAUACCGGAUACGCCCUUAUGGGGAAAGGCUUGCUGCCGAAGGAUCGGCCCGCGUCUGAUUAGCUAGUUGGUGAGGUUAUGGCUCACCAAGGCGACGAUCAGUAGCUGGUCUGAGAGGAUGAUCAGCCACACUGGGACUGAGACACGGCCCAGACUCCUACGGGAGGCAGCAGUGGGGAAUAUUGGACAAUGGGGGCAACCCUGAUACAGCCAUGCCGCGUGAGUGAUGACGGCCUUAGGGUUGUAAAGCUCUUUUCUCCGGGACGAUAAUGACGGUACCGGAGGAAUAAGCCCCGGCUAACUUCGUG